AGUCAUUAUUAUAAUAUUUACAUUGACUCAACUGCAAAAAGAAGCUGUAGAAGUGUAUUUGCGUAAAUUUCACUGUGCACGUGCUAAGUGUAAAUACGUAUACCUAACUGCUUUAUGAAUAUUUGUAACGGAUUAAGAUGCUCCUAGUAAUAAUAAUCAUUAUACCACGGUUUUAUCAAAAUAUUAUUAAUCUGUGCUAAAGGGGGAGUGACGUCGCCAGCCUCCAAAUGUAACGGUGUGCGUAAUACGACUCCUGGUUUAAUGACAUGAAAAAUUAAGUUGCGUCGCAUCUCGUGCCUUUUUGGACGGCUGAGAAUUAUCUUUGGUCGCCGGUAAUAGCCUUUUUUGGAGUUUUAUAGAGGUAGGACAAUGCAAAGAUGAGAUCUCGAUUGACCUAAUUUCAGUAAUAUUGCAUUAUUUUGACCAUAUAUGAACGUAAAAAUGGAAGUCUGGGGGUCUUUAUUUAUUAUAUGUAGUUGUAGGUAUUGUAUUCCCAUUUGAUAGUUGGGCGAUAACUGGAAUUUUACUCUUAUUUUUUUAAUUGGACUGAGUGACCUCUGUUAAAAGCAAAAAUGGACUAAGCGCGAGCCAGACUCGCGUUCCAAGGGUUCCAUAAUUACGCUUUUUUUUUACAUACAUCCUUUGGUCUAGACAAGCCGGUGUAAUAAAGUGAGCGAUACUUCGCCAUCGAACAUCGCCAUCUUGUUAGCGCUCAGAUAAUCAAGAUGGCGGAUAGCUCGGGCUAACAAGGUUCAUUUAUCAAUACUGAUGGUACUUACGUUCUUGUUGACCGGUACUCAGAUUUUUAAAUAACUCUACAGCUAUUGCUAGUGUUGUUGUCGUAAAAAACUUAUCAGUUUUCGCUCAUAAAUAACCGGGUUUUUUAUCCACAUGGGGCAGUAAGUGAAAUACCUGUAAGUACUACAUGCGAGACAAUUAUAUUUGUCCUUCAGAGUCAUGAAACCGAUUUAAAAAAGAAAAACCGCAUUUAAUCAUUUUUAUGUACCUAAUAAUAAACGCCUGCGAGUGCGAGUCCAAUCCAUUAUUACCUAUAAAGAAAAAAAAAUAGAGUAUAAAGAUAGUUCAACAACCGUGAACAAUCUUAUCUACCAAAACGGUGGGUUGGUAGGUAACCCCAGAGCGGUAGUCAAAAAUUGUCUAGAAAUAAUAACCUUUUAUUUAACCAUGUUACACAAAUCCGUAUCUACGUAUAAUAUUAGGUUGUUUUUUUCUCGCAAUUGCCUCAUUUCAAUGAAUAUAUCGGGGACAGUCCAUCUUCUAUCAGAUAUAGUCCGUAUUCUAUCAGAAUGCUUCGCCAAUGAGAAAGGUGCAAGUAAUGUCUCAGACGCACGAAGUGCGAUUUAAAUUUAUCGUUGAAUUUUGCCGUCUUCGCAAAGUCAAGAGGGCUUACAGUGCGCAUUGGGACAAAUGCAAAUGCGGUUUCAUAUUUUGGUUUGUGUGAAGUCGAUUAAUUUAUUGGUUGCGAGAACACUGUAAUUUUUUUUAAUAGCUUGCGUUUCUACUUUGUCCUGUGACUUGCUAGGCCAGUAGGCUACUAAUACGAAUAUGACGUCGAAUGACAUAUUUUUAUUUAUUUUGUACGGAUUUAUUUACCCCGAAGUAGCACCUUUCUGGCGCGGCAAGUCGUGUAAUAAACUUUUACAUAUAGUUUGUUACAGGAGGCCAAUUCCGACUUAUAUUUCAGUGUUUAAAUAAUGGGACCAACUUGGAGGUACAAAAACAAGAAUCACUCAAAUCCGACCAGAGGUGUCGGAGUAACCGGUGUACAUACAUAAAAAAAAAUAGCCACAACCGAAUACAGAACCUCCUCCUUCUAUGAAAUUGAAGUCGGUUAAAAAACUUGAUUGUCAGAACAGAAGAUGUUACUGUGCGUGUUUUACAUGUGUGUAUACCUGUAUGUGUACCUAGUACUUUAUGCAAAAAUCGAUCUAUCAACAUUUGAAAAGAUGAAAAGACGAAACGCUUAAAUAAAUAUUAAAUAAAUAAAUAUUAUAGGACAUUUUUACACAAAUUGACUAAGUCCCACACUAAGCUCAAUAAGGCUUGUGUUGAGGGUACUUAGAAAACGAUAUAUAUAAUAUAUAAAUAAAUAUUUAUAAAUACUUAAAUACAUAGAACUUAAAAAAAUCAUAUUUAUAAUCAUGAAUGUUGAUUGAUGAUUUUUCAUGGCUUUAUCAUAUGUACAUAGGUAUGUGGAAGUCCCGUAACGCCGGACGGAAGCUAGUGCCGGACACACGUAAUAUCUUGGAAACUAACAACGCGAGCAAUUGAAGAAUAAGUGAAAGGGGCGCGGGGGGACGUACCACUACCAAUGUCGAAAAAUGGAAUGUGCAUUGCUUGUGACGCGCGCAGCGACUGUGGGAGCGUUUUUAGUGUUUUUGUGGGGAAGGCACUGCAUUGCAUAAGAUUUGGAUAGAAGAACGGGCAAACAUAAAUGGAAGAGAUGAAUAAACAGUCCGGAAAAGGAGAGUCUGCAAGUGAUUCCCGAGCGAGCAAUGUUAACGUACGUCAACGAAAAAUACAUUGACAAAAAAAACUCGGUAGUCAACGUGAGAAGAUAUGGAAGGAAGAGUGGUUACUACAUCAACAUUGAAGCAAACAUCAAAAUGGAAUUCGGGAACAACGUAUCGCUCAACCUAAUCUUCUUUGAGUUCCUUCACAAUGAGUAUAAACGCAGUUUCGUGGAGAUGAAGUUCCCGAAGAUUUGCGAUGCGUUGAACUCGGACCCCUAUAUUGGCGGAGCAUUCAAACUUAUUGGUUUGAUUUGCCCAAUACCUAGGUUAGUGGAUUAAUAUAGAAAUUCUUACGAGACCUCGCGAAUAAUGGGGUUUAAUGGAAGACUAAGUACUCGUAUAGUUUUUUACAUGCCUAAAUACUCAUAAUUAAGAAGAGCUCUUGUACUAUUCGGACACAUUCUAACAUUCUAAAUUUAAAAUACUUUGUGUCUCGGAGUCCUCUCAACUUCAUGCGCAAAUAUGAUAACUGGACUAGUAGAGAACUUUUGUUCCUUCUUCUUUUGAAGGUGUACCUAAAAUAGUGGGGUUCUGUUUACGGGUAAAAUUGGUGAUUGCCGGAACAAAUACAAGGUAAAACGUCAAGUAAGCCCUUGCUUGGAAAAUAAACAAAUUUAAUGUAGGUAUGACGAAUUUUACUUGAAGAAGUGAAUUUUUCUUUUAAUAUAAAUAUUUGUAAUUUCGUUUGCAGGCGUCUCUGUUUAGUACAAAAUUAAGUAUAAAACGGGUCCUGGGUCAUCAGGUUAUAAAAUAUCUGCAUGCUCGAAAUUUAUAAAUAAGAAUUUUACAAGAAAAAUACAGUCAGCAUCAAAAGUAGCUGAUCAAAUAACGUUUCAUAAAGUAUGGUUCUGUAAAAGCUUACCAAAAAGUGAUGUCUUUAAUAUAGAAUAACUAAGACUGUAAAAGAUAUACUUUUGAGCGCGAGUUUUAACAAUUUAUCUAUAUUGGAAAAGUUAUCCGGAAUAUCAGAUACUUUUGGCGCGUUGUUUCAUCCGCUACUUUUGAUGCUGACUGUACAGGGAAAAUUAAUUCCAAUACCAGGAUAUCGCUAUAAAUAUUAUUGUAUUGCAUUUUUGUUUCAGGGUAUGCAAAGGCUGAACAAUAUAACGGUGCCCAUGCAUAACUUUCCUAAUGUCUGGCCCUUUGAAAAAUGUAAAGUUGAAGCAACGCUACUCCAGAAUAAAAAUCGGGAAGUCAUGGCUACUGCUGAUAUUUAUGCCAUUUUCAAACAAAGCGCUAUAGGAAAAUAGAAUAUAAAAGAUUAGUUCCUCGAUAAAGCACAAUUAUAUUUAAGAUUUAUAUUUAAACUAUCACCAAAUAAAUUUUCAGACAAUUCUCUUAAUAAAGACCA